rnacentral:rRNA from 1 species
AGAGUUUGAGUCCUGGCUCAGGAUGAACGCUGGCGGCGUGCCUAACACAUGCAAGUCGAACGGAGUUACGAUGAAACCUAGUGAUUCGUAACUUAGUGGCGGACGGGUGAGUAACGCGUGGAUAACCUGCCUUGCACUGGGGGAUAACACUUAGAAAUAGGUGCUAAUACCGCAUAAGCGCACGGAGCCGCAUGGCUCAGUGUGAAAAACUCCGGUGGUGUAAGAUGGAUCCGCGUCUGAUUAGCUGGUUGGCGGGGUAGAAGCCCACCAAGGCGACGAUCAGUAGCCGGCCUGAGAGGGUGAACGGCCACAUUGGGACUGAGACACGGCCCAGACUCCUACGGGAGGCAGCAGUGGGGAAUAUUGGGCAAUGGGCGCAAGCCUGACCCAGCAACGCCGCGUGAAGGAAGAAGGCUUUCGGGUUGUAAACUUCUUUUGUCAGGGACGAAGCAAGUGACGGUACCUGACGAAUAAGCCACGGCUAACUACGUG